rnacentral:lncRNA from 1 species
UUCAAUUCGUCAUCUAAAUCGCAUGGAGUUGAAAGAAAUUAUAGGUAAGAACGAGAAGAUCGAUAACUUUGGUCAGAUCCUGAUGAAACAGUGUUUGGUUUGCACCUGUUGUCUCAAAGGUCACAAACCAUCUCCCAAGUUCUGCAAGUCGACGAAAUGUUGCUUUAAUAUAAAUUGUAGUUUGGCAAACCCUGAAUGUAGUUUGCAUUCAUAUAAUUGCGAUUGUCAUGAAAAUUGCUAGUAAUUAAUCCUUCUCCAA